UCAUCCCACAUCGGCUACUUGAAUGAAACAGAAGGUAUCAAACUCAUUACAUAAACCAAGCAGCUGGUAACUAAGAUGACAAGCAGCUACGCAGUGAACACAAAGCGAACUAUUCUUUCGCCUUUUACUAAAGAAUACCGUGUGUUCGCUGCAUUAAGUGGCAUACGCCUAUUUUUGGAGAGUCCCUUUCAAUUAGGGCUCCAACCAAUUUCAGAGUUCAACUUUUCAAUUGUCCACAUUGAAAAAAGCCUAAUUGUAUUCAAGCCCUAGAAGCUGAAUAUAAACAUAUACAGUUUCUGUGAUUAGAAAGCAGUGUUGAUUUCGUAACAAAAAUCGUGAAAUAACCCAAGAAUUACGAUUCUGUCAAGCAUCUUGUACCGCUAUCUCUACGUUUACUGCAUUCGUUAUUCCUCCAGCUCGAGCCAUUUCUUUAAGCGAUUGAGUCUGAUUGCUUGAUUCCACUGUUCAGAUGAAUCGGUGAUGAUGAUUUCUUCUUGUUGUGUGUUGUGUGAGUUAAGCAAAAGACUCGAAGCCAAACAUGAUUGUGAUUUUUCAGACAGAAAGGGACAGUCGGAAAUCCUCUUCGUUACUUUUCACGAAGAAAUAAAUGGAUCAAAGGGUCUUACGGUGAAGACGAAGACGAAGCGGUCGGUUCAAAAAGGGCAUCAUGUUUACCAGCAUUGCCCCGUUUUAAAAGAUUUAAAGUGAAUGGUGAAGUUAAAGCAAGAUGCAUUCAUUGCAAGAAAGUAUUGGGUGCGGAUAACAAGAAAGGUACAAAACAUUUAUUUGUCCAUUUUAAACGUUGUUUACACAACCCAUUUUCAGAUAUUCGUCAAUCUAUCUUGGUGCAAGAAAAAAAGAAAA